GCAGCCGCCGCGGUAACACGUAGGUGGCAAGCGUUGUCCGGAAUUAUUGGGCGUAAAGGGCUCGCAGGCGGUUUCUUAAGUCUGAUGUGAAAGCCCCCGGCUCAACCGGGGAGGGUCAUUGGAAACUGGGAAACUUGAGUGCAGAAGAGGAGAGUGGAAUUCCACGUGUAGCGGUGAAAUGCGUAGAGAUGUGGAGGAACACCAGUGGCGAGGCGACUCUCUGGUCUGUAACUGACGCUGAGGAGCGAAAGCGUGGGGAGCGAACAGGAUUAGAUACCCCAGUAGUCCCUGUCUCUUAUACA
rnacentral:rRNA from 1 species